UACGAAGGGGGCUAGCGUUGCUCGGAAUUACUGGGCGUAAAGGGAGCGUAGGCGGACAGUUUAGUCAGAGGUGAAAGCCCAGGGCUCAACCCUGGAAUUGCCUUUGAUACUGAUUGUCUUGAGUAUGGGAGAGGUGAGUGGAACUCCGAGUGUAGAGGUGAAAUUCGUAGAUAUCGGGAGGAACAUCAGUGGCGAAGGCGGCUGCCUGGCCCAAUACUGACACUCAGGUGCGACAGCGUGGGGAGCAAACAGG
rnacentral:rRNA from 1 species